UACUCAUAGUCCGCAUCCUCUGGCCUUAGCAUCAUUUUACGUCAUCCUGCUCAAGCGCCCUUCUGAAGACAAAAUAAGCAUCUUUCAAUUCCUGUGACUGAUCUCCACAUGUUAUACAAUGCAAUCAUUUUGGAAGUUUGAUGAAAGGUGCUAAAGCCAUCACUCACGUGCAUUCACCUGGCUUAAGAAGCACAGGUACAGCCCAAAGGCCAGAAGGCACAGAAAAUGCAAAAACACACACACAGGAUGUCAUAAGUUUCCCACAGCCAGACAUGUGAUGGAUGUUGUGGUCACAAAACGACGCAUACUCUGUGAACUUUAGAUGUGUAAUUUUUCAGAUUGCUUUUACAGGUUUUGAACAUUCAUGUAAAAACAAAAUAUGUGCUACACAAUUCAUUCACAUUGUACAAUUUAUCAUGGCCCAAACACACCAGCACAGUCGUUAAGAGGGCACAAAAACACCUCCUCCUCAGGAUGCUGAAAAUAUUUGUCAUGGGCCCUCAGAUGCUCAAAAGGUUAUACAACUGCACCAUUAAGAGCAUCUUGACUGGCUCCAACACCGCUUGGUAUGGCAACUGCUUGGCAUCCGACCAUAAGGCACUACAGAGGGUAGUGCAUAUGGUCCAGUACAUCACUGGGGAAGAGCUCCCUGCCAUCCAGGACCUUUACUCCAGGUGGUGUCAGAGGAAGGCCCUAAAAAUUGUCAGACUCCAGCCACCCAAGUCAUAGACUGUUCUCUCUACUACCGCAGUCAAUUGAUACCGGAGUGCCAAGCCUGUGACCAAAAGGCUCCUGAACAUCUCCUACCCCCAAGCCAUAAGACUGCUGAACAGUUUAUCAAAUGGCUACCCAGACGAUUUGCAUUGACACCAUUUAUUUAUUUUUUGCCGUUUGCGCUGGCUUUAUGCAAAAUCACUGGACUUUACCCACACACUCACACAUACUACACUGACUCACAUGCGUGUGUGUGUGAGUGUUGCAGUAGAUUCAAGUAGAAAUGUUACAUGCAUAACUUUUAAAUGCUUCCAGCGCUUCAGUCUUUUAAGCGCAGACUAUUUUACACCUGGCUUUGUAUGACAGCACCUUUGCUGGGCCUUUAAAUUGGUUACUCUUUACAGUUUACACUUAAUGGGAUAGUUCAGAGAAAUAAUGUAUUCAGAUAUUUGUUUUCUUACCUCAUAAGCAGUCUUCGGACUGCUCUUCAAGGAAAACUCAGCCCAAAAAUCUUUGGCUGAGAGUUUCCUUUUGCAAGGGUGGAGACUUCAGAACUCCCAAUUUCUAACACGCAUGGGCACAGAACUUAAUCACGCAGCUGAAUUUUUGUUCUAAGGAGUGACUGCACUGGUUUUGGCAGAAAAGUCACUGCCAAUAAAUGCUUAUGUUAGCAUUUUCGGACUAAAAACAUUAUUUUACUUAGCAUAGUGUGUCUGAAGUUACACAUCACACUAUUGUAUGAAUGUUUUUGAAUAAAAU
ensembl:lncRNA